AAGAGAUCCAUCUUCGUUGGAGGUACAUAGAAGUCCGGCUGGUCGGGAAGAAGCGAUCCGGAAGAAAAGGACUUCUUUCAAGCAGCUGCAAGGGACGGAAAAGUACGGCACCAACAAGAAGAUGGAGGCUCAGAAAAAUGUGGAGGACGUGGCC